UACAGAGGGUGCGAGCGUUAAUCGGAGUUACUGGGCGUAAAGGGCGCGUAGGCGGUUAUGUGGGUGUGAUGUGAAAUCCCCGGGCUUAACCUGGGAAGUGCAUCGCAAACUGUAUAGCUGGAGUAUAUGAGAGGGUGGCGGAAUUUCCGGUGUAGCGGUGAAAUGCGUAGAGAUCGGAAGGAACGUCAAUGGCGAAGGCAGCCACCUGGCAUAAUACUGACGCUGAGGCGCGAAAGCGUGGGGAGCGAACAGG
rnacentral:rRNA from 1 species